rnacentral:lncRNA from 1 species
UAUCCAGAGGGGAAGAAAUCAGAGAACAGACGAGAGGAAGAAAUCUGAGAAGGUUAACAUAGAUGAGGGGAAGAAAUCCGGUGACUAACCGAGCAGGACAACGGCAGAGCAGUGUAGUGAGAUCUGGAUCACAGUAACUGUGCGUCGCUGAAUCGAGAACUAGUGUAAAAAUAUCGUAUUCGUGCCGGUGCCGAUCUCCGCAACAAGCAGGAAACCGCCUCCAACCUACAUCCACUAUACCUGAAAUCUCAACGCGAAGAGUGGAAGAUCCGCAGGAAUCUCCACGCAAAGUUUCGUCACGGCCGCCCUCGGGCUGCCUGCUAUUACUCUUUCUGAGUCUGAGCUCCUUCGACCAGGAAAGGACGCGGG